GAUGAACGCUGGCGGCGUGCCUAAUACAUGCAAGUCGAGCGAACAGACGAGGAGCUUGCUCCUCUGACGUUAGCGGCGGAUGGGUGAGUAACACGUGGAUAACCUACCUAUAAGACUGGGAUAACUUCGGGAAACCGGAGCUAAUACCGGAUAAUAUAUUGAACCGCAUGGUUCAAUAGUGAAAGACGGUUUUGCUGUCACUUAUAGAUGGAUCCGCGCCGCAUUAGCUAGUUGGUAAGGUAACGGCUUACCAAGGCGACGAUGCGUAGCCGACCUGAGAGGGUGGUCGGCGACACUGGAACGGAGACACGGUCCAGACUCCUACGGGAGGCAGCAGUAGGGAAUCUUCCGCAAUGGGCGAAAGCCUGACGGAGCAACGCCGCGUGAGUGAUGAAGGUCUUCGGAUCGUAAAACUCUGUUAUUAGGGAAGAACAAAUGUGUAAGUAACUAUGCACGUCUUGACGGUACCUAAUCAGAAAGCCACGGCUAACUACGUG
rnacentral:rRNA from 1 species